rnacentral:rRNA from 1 species
UACGUAGGGUGCAAGCGUUGUCCGGAAUUAUUGGGCGUAAAGAGCUCGUAGGCGGUUUGUUGCGUCUGCUGUGAAAACUCGGGGCUUAACCCCGGGCCUGCAGUGGAUACUGGCAGACUAGAGUGCGGUAGGGGAGACUGGAAUUCCUGGUGUAGCGGUGAAAUGCGCAGAUAUCAGGAGGAACACCAGUGGCGAAGGCGGGUCUCUGGGCCGUAACUGACGCUGAGGAGCGAAAGCGUGGGGAGCGAACAGG